CGACGUUGAUUCUCCGAUUACCACCGCCAGAUUCGUUUCAAUCGUAUUUGAUUCGACGGUUCAUAUGCGCUGCAAUUUCAUCUGUUACCUCACUUAUUGCUUGCUCUCUUCUCCUCCCUAUUCAGUGGGGUAAAUCUCACCUUUCAGGUGUUUAUGGCAUCAGAUUGGAUCAUAUCUGGCAAGCUGUCGUCUUUCCUCUUACAUUGACUUCCUUAAUGUACGCUGGCACCUUCAUCCUCAAGGUGUUAUUGUUGAUAGACUCGGGCCAAGA
rnacentral:misc_RNA from 1 species